rnacentral:lncRNA from 1 species
ACAAUGGAGUUAUAUCCCAAUAAGCCCAGGUAAGUGGAAAAAUCUCAAGUUCAAAAUGCAUUUAAUAUUCAUACAUCUAACCUACUGAACAUCAUAGUUUAGCCCAGCCUACCUUAAACGUGCUCAGAACACGUACAUUAGCCUACAGUUGGGCAAAAUCAUCUAACACAAAGGCCUGUUUUGUAAUAAAGUGCUGAAUAUUUCAAGUAACUUACUGAAUACUGUACUGAGAGUGAAAAACAGAAUGGUUGUAUGGGUACUUGAAGUAUGCUUUCUACUGAAAUCAUACUGCCUUUGUACCAUCAUGAAGUGGAAAAAUCUUAAGUUGAACCAUCAUUAAGGCAAACCAUUGGUAAGCUAGGGAUCUUCUGUAGCAGAAAGUAGUGGUCAACUUCAAACCAGUUUUAGCUGGUCCAUUUUCUUAGCAUCUAACUGACAAGAACUGCAGCAGGGACAGGAAAGCCUUAGGCAGGAAUGAGGUACUAUCAGAUGGUGGGGGAGGGUGGAGGAGUGGUAAGGAGAGCAAGCAUUCUUCUUAGUUCUCUGUGUAAUUAGAAGACUUUGAAUUUCUCCAAUGUUUAGGUCAGGUGUGGUGGUUCAUGCAUGUAAUCCUAGCACUUCAGGAGGCUGAGGCUGGUGGAUCACCUGAGGUUAGAAGUUCGAGACCAGCCUGGACAACAUGGUG